UGUGGGAGCGAGCUUGCUCGCGAUUACGGUGUGUCAGCUCAUAUAUCCGGCACUGACCCACCGCUAUCGCGAGCAAGCUCGCUCCCACA
rnacentral:misc_RNA from 1 species